rnacentral:rRNA from 1 species
GAUGAACGCUGGCGGCGUGCUUAACACAUGCAAGUCGAACGAAGCAGAAGGAUGCUUGCAUCCUUUUGACUGAGUGGCGGACGGGUGAGUAACACGUAGAGAACCUACCUUACACAGGGGGACAACGGCUGGAAACGGCUGCUAAUACCGCAUAAGCACCCAGUUUCGCAUGAAACAGAGUGAAAAGAGUAAAUCGGUGUAAGAUGGCUCUGCGUCUGAUUAGCUAGUUGGUGGGGUAAAGGCUCACCAAGGCGACGAUCAGUAGCCGGCCUGAGAGGGCGACCGGCCACAUUGGGACUGAGACACGGCCCAG